rnacentral:tRNA from 1 species
GGUGGCUCAGUGGUAGAGUGCUUGCCUUGCAUGCAAGAGGCCCCGGGUUCGAUUCCUCAGCACCA